rnacentral:rRNA from 1 species
GAUGAACGCUGGCGGCGUGCCUAAUACAUGCAAGUCGAGCGAACGGACGAGAAGCUUGCUUCUCUGAUGUUAGCGGCGGACGGGUGAGUAACACGUGGAUAACCUACCUAUAAGACUGGGAUAACUUCGGGAAACCGGAGCUAAUACCGGAUAAUAUUUUGAACCGCAUGGUUCAAAAGUGAAAGACGGUCUUGCUGUCACUUAUAGAUGGAUCCGCGCUGCAUUAGCUAGUUGGUAAGGUAACGGCUUACCAAGGCAACGAUGCAUAGCCGACCUGAGAGGGUGAUCGGCCACACUGGAACUGAGACACGGUCCAGACUCCUACGGGAGGCAGCAGUAGGGAAUCUUCCGCAAUGGGCGAAAGCCUGACGGAGCAACGCCGCGUGAGUGAUGAAGGUCUUCGGAUCGUAAAACUCUGUUAUUAGGGAAGAACAUAUGUGUAAGUAACUGUGCACAUCUUGACGGUACCUAAUCAGAAAGCCACGGCUAACUACGUGCCAGCAGCCGCGGUAAUACGUAGGUGGCAAGCGUUAUCCGGAAUUAUUGGGCGUAAAGCGCGCGUAGGCGGUUUUUUAAGUCUGAUGUGAAAGCCCACGGCUCAUCCGUGGAGGGUCAUUGGAAACUGGAAAACUUGAGUGCAGAAGAGGAAAGUGGAAUUCCAUGUGUAGCGGUGAAAUGCGCAGAGAUAUGGAGGAACACCAGUGGCGAAGGCGACUUUCUGGUCUGUAACUGACGCUGAUGUGCGAAAGCGUGGGGAUCAAACAGGAUUAGAUACCCUGGUAGUCCACGCCGUAAACGAUGAGUGCUAAGUGUUAGGGGGUUUCCGCCCCUUAGUGCUGCAGCUAACGCAUUAAGCACUCCGCCUGGGGAGUACGACCGCAAGGUUGAAACUCAAAGGAAUUGACGGGGACCCGCACAAGCGGUGGAGCAUGUGGUUUAAUUCGAAGCAACGCGAAGAACCUUACCAAAUCUUGACAUCCUUUGACAACUCUAGAGAUAGAGCCUUCCCCUUCGGGGGACAAAGUGACAGGUGGUGCAUGGUUGUCGUCAGCUCGUGUCGUGAGAUGUUGGGUUAAGUCCCGCAACGAGCGCAACCCUUAAGCUUAGUUGCCAUCAUUAAGUUGGGCACUCUAAGUUGACUGCCGGUGACAAACCGGAGGAAGGUGGGGAUGACGUCAAAUCAUCAUGCCCCUUAUGAUUUGGGCUACACACGUGCUACAAUGGACAAUACAAAGGGCAGCGAAACCGCGAGGUCAAGCAAAUCCCAUAAAGUUGUUCUCAGUUCGGAUUGUAGUCUGCAACUCGACUACAUGAAGCUGGAAUCGCUAGUAAUCGUAGAUCAGCAUGCUACGGUGAAUACGUUCCCGGGUCU